AUGUCCGGGCGCGGCAAGGGCGGCAAGGGGCUGGGCAAGGGCGGCGCCAAGCGCCACCGGAAGGUCCUCCGCGACAACAUCCAGGGCAUCACCAAGCCGGCGAUCCGGAGGCUGGCGAGGAGGGGCGGCGUGAAGCGCAUCUCCGGCCUCAUCUACGAGGAGACCCGCGGCGUCCUCAAGAUCUUCCUCGAGAACGUCAUCCGCGACGCCGUCACCUACACCGAGCACGCCCGCCGCAAGACCGUCACUGCCAUGGACGUCGCCUACGCGCUCAAGCGCCAGGGCCGCACCCUCUACGGCUUCGGAGGCUAG
rnacentral:rRNA from 1 species